rnacentral:rRNA from 1 species
UACGUAGGGUCCGAGCGUUGUCCGGAAUUACUGGGCGUAAAGAGCUCGUAGGUGGUUUGUCGCGUUGUUCGUGAAAACUCACAGCUCAACUGUGGGCGUGCGGGCGAUACGGGCAGACUAGAGUACUGCAGGGGAGACUGGAAUUCCUGGUGUAGCGGUGAGAUGCGCAGAUAUCAGGAGGAACACCGGUGGCGAAGGCGGGUCUCUGGGCAACAACUGACGCUGAGGAGCGAAAGCGUGGGGAGCGAACAGG